UCAUUAAUAUACCUCCCAUAAUGUAGGUCUUCCGCUUUAUAUACACUGGAGAACGUACCUAAACGAAUUAGCAAGAUAGUUUCAAAACAGUACUAAAAACGGUAAUUGAAGUUUACCUUCUCCAAUUUUUUCAAUUAGCCGAUAGUUCUCUUGUAGCUCUACGAACGUCCUUGUGAUAUUUUCAAUUUCUUCGCGGUCUCGUGCAGGGAUAUCUUGAAUCAUUUCUUGAGAUUUGUUUUCGUUUACAUUUUCAUCGUCCACCUCAGUGAUUUCACAUUCAGAAUCAAUAUCUGUUUGUUGUUCAUGAGUUACUUUAGGUGAUAGUGUGAUAUGGGCCUCUGCCAUGUUAACGGUUUAACUCAUAUAUUUUUAAACCAAAUAAUAACUUAAAAAAAAUUAAAAGAGUCGUCAAUUAAAUGGUAAAAUGCUGCCAAGGGAAGGAACCAAGAA